GGAAGGAUCAUUAACACUUGCGGUUUCGUGCCGCUUUACUCAACAACCUGCGAACUGUUUUUUAUUAUUGAUGUGUGUACGGGUGCGUGGUGCGAGUGCCCGCGUGCGGCGCCUCUCGCCGCUCCAUUCGUGUACAUUAUCACUAUUUCAACCACACAACCGCAAAGUCUAACGUAAAUUGUACAAACAACCAAAAUACAACUUUUAGCAAUGGAUAUCUUGGUUCCCACAACGAUGAAGAACGCAGCGAAAUGCGAUACGUAAUGCGAAUUGCAGUAUUCGUGAAUCAUCAAAUCUUUGAACGCAAGUUGCGCCCUCGAGAUAGCCUUGAGGGCAUGCCUCUUUGAGUAUCGGUUACAAUCGUUCCCCGACCGCGGUGUGUGCGCGCGCGCAAGCGCACAAGACACACGAGCGCGACGGGAGAGGCUGGGCUCGAUCGCGGCGAGCGAUUGGCCCCAAGUUGAUUGCGGUGCGCGCGAAACGGCCAAUCCGACUUUAUUGGGAACAAGAAAACGCGGAACUUGGCGGCGCCCGGAAACUUAUACACACAGAUCUCAAAUGAGGUAAGACUACCCGCUGAAUUUAAGCAUAUAAUUAAGCGGAGGAAAAGAAACUAACAAGGAUGGCAUUAGUAACGGCGAGUGAAGCUGCCAGAGCUCAAACCUGAAAUCUCUGCCGUUCGCGGCAGCGAGUUGUGGUCUAUUGAGGCGUGUCUCAGUGGCGGCCCCGGCCUAAAUCGAUUGGAACAUCGUAUCAGAGAGGGUGAGAAUCCCGUCUUUGGCUGGGCGUCCGUCGCGUACGAGCCGUCUUUCGAAGAGUCGGAUUGCUUGGGAGUGCAGUCCUAAGUGGGUGGUAAAUUUCAUCUAAAGCUAAAUACAUGUGGGAGACCGAUAGCGAACAAGUACCGUGAGGGAAAGAUGAAAAGAACUUUGAAAAGAGAGUUAAAAAGUACUUGAAAUUGCUGAGAACGAAGGGAUGGCGACUAGUAAUGGCGCGGGUGGCCCCCGCGGGUGGCGGUACGAGGCGUGCGGACCGGAUUGCUUUGUCUUCCGCCGCGCGCCCAUGGCCGGGCCCGAGGGAUCCUGCCAUCGGCUGCCUUGGUCAGAAUGGGUUCGCCUCCGUUGAAAUUGCCGUCCGGGAAGGUAGCUCGGCCCCGUCACCGGGGCGCGAGAACUUAUAGCCCGGCGGUUUCGAACGGUCGCGGAUCGAGGCGCUGAAACAUUCUCCGAGGUUCACCUGUCGCUGUCCGUCGGCCGCGCCUAGGGAACAACGUUCCGCAGGCGUUCCGGUCGGCGACACUCGGCGGGCUGAACCAUCUGUCUGUUCACGAUUCUGACGAAAUGGUCGUCAUUCACCCGUCUUGAAACACGGACCAAGGAGUCUUACAUCUAUGCGAGUAAUCAGGUGGAAAACCUGUUUGCGCAAUGAAAGUGAAUGAGUGUGACCCGCAAGGGGCAACACCGGGCGGCUGAAAUAUCUGUACGACCACGAGCAUAUCUGUAGGGACCCGAAAGAUGGUGAACUAUGCUUGAGCAGGAUGAAGCCAGGGGAAACUCUGGUGGAAGUCCGAAGCGAUACUGACGUGCAAAUCGUUCGUCUGACUUGAGUAUAGGGGCGAAAGACUAAUCGAACUAUCUAGUAGCUGGUUCCCUC
rnacentral:misc_RNA from 1 species